rnacentral:rRNA from 1 species
AGUCAACCUAACCUGGAGACGCGGACAACCCCGGGAAACUGGGACUAAUCCGCGAUAGACCAAGACAUCUGGAAGGAGUCUUGAUCCAAAGGGAUGUGUGAGCAUGUUUACACAUUCGCUUCAGGAUGGGACUGCGGCCGAUCAGGUUGUUGGCGGGGUAAUGGCCCACCAAGCCUAUAACCGGUACGGGCUUUGAGAGAAGGAGCCCGGAGAUGGACACUGAGACAAGGGUCCAGGUCCUACGGGGCGCAGCAGGCGCGAAACCUUCGCAAUAUGCGAAAGCAUGACGAGGCUACUCCGAGUGCCCUUCGCUAAGAAGGGCUUUUCUCAGGCGUAAAUAACCUAGGGAAUAAGGGGUGGGCAAGUCUGGUGUCAGCCGCCGCGGUAAUACCAGCUCCUCGAGUGGUUGGGACGAUUAUUGGGCCUAAAGCAUCCGUAGCCUGCUCCGUAGGUCUUCUGUUAAAUCCAACGGCUCAACCGUUGGGCCGCAGGAGAUACCACGGGGCUAGGAGGCGGGGGAGGCCGACGGUACUCCAUGGGUAGGGGUAAAAUCCUCUGAUCCAUGGAAGACCACCAGUGGCGUAGGCGGUCGACCAGAACGCGCUCGACGGUGAGGGAUGAAAGCUGGGGGAGCGAACCGGAUUAGAUACCCGGGUAGUCCCAGCUGUAAACGAUGCGGGCUAGGUGAUGGAGCGGCUACGAGCCGCUCCGGUGCCGCAGGGAAGCCGUUAAGCCCGCCGCCUGGGGAGUACGGUCGCAAGACUGAAACUUAA